UCCCAGAUAGCUCAGGCGGGAGAGCGCCGGACUGAAGAUCUGUAGGUCCUGAGUUCGUUCUUGGAUCUAGGCA